rnacentral:sRNA from 1 species
UAAUAGCCCUGAUGGAAGCGGCAUCCUCGUAGCAUUGCGGAAAGAUACAGCGGACAGCAGGACAAAAC